UACGUAGGGUGCAAGCGUUGUCCGGAAUUAUUGGGCGUAAAGAGUUCGUAGGCGGUUUGUCGCGUCCGUUGUGAAAGCUUGGGGCUCAACCCCAAGUCUGCAGUGGAUACGGGCAGACUAGAGUCAGGUAGGGGAGAACGGAAUUCCUGGUGUAGCGGUGAAAUGCGCAGAUAUCAGGAGGAACACCGGUGGCGAAGGCGGCAUCCUGGACCAUUACUGACGCUGAGGCUCGAAAGCUAGGGGAGCAAACGGG
rnacentral:rRNA from 1 species